CUUAACUCUCAGCCCUUUUGUCUCCUGCAGUAAGUGUGGAGGUUGACUCAUUAAUCCCAGAUUCCUCUCUCUGUGACAGAGCCAAAAGCUGGACAUGGAACCGGCCACAAGGACUGGACGUCUCUGGGUGAGCUCAGUGCAGAGCGUUGUAGAGAGAAGAGGGGAGGACCUUUCCGACUAGGCGAGGGACAGACAGAUGGACGGUCAUAGAGGGAGGAAGAGAAGAAGAGGAGCAUUACAAUUAAUGCAAGCAGAGGUCUAAACAUCCCAUCACUCCACCUGGCUGCUGCUUCAGCUCUUCAUCUGCAUUAAUGCUUCAAACCGGAGCUGCUUAGGCUACACAAAAACAUCUGGUCCGAGUGGAAGGGACACGGCAAGACAGCACAGGAUGUGGAAGGAAGCUGGGGUGAGGAGGGAGAUGAGGAGCACCAGCCACAACACCAUAUGCACUAACCCCAAACCAUCAGCUGCCUACCCUGUGAAAGUGGAGGGACUCAGCCUGCUUCAAUGUUAGAAGGAUGAUGGAUCAAGGGAGAAAACCUGAGUAACGGCUAUGUUCUCAUCAUAUUCUGAAAGAUAAAAGAUGUUUUGUGGACAGCUAAAGAAGACCCACAAGUUGAGAAACCUUUUGUUUGUACUCAUGGAGGCAUCGAUAUUCUUAUCCAUCAUUUAGGUUUUAUACAGAGGCACUAAUAUUUACAUUGAGACAUUUAAACAAAAGUACACAUAAAAUGAACUGCAAGGUAAAAACCUACAACCACUUGUUCAAAAACACAUGCAACUCAAGAAAAAAGGUUUUGCAUUGAUAGGUCUUCUGCCAGGUCGAGAGAUGAUGCUUUAUAGAAAAACCUUUGGGAGCUCUUGCAGACUUAUUUCAGAAGUUGUAUUUCUAGAUUUCAAUUCUCAAUCCAGCACAUAAAGUUAGAUGAUAAUUUAUAGCAAUAAGCACUGACUGACAGCUAGUUUAAAGGGUCUAGUCAAUAGCAUGGCUGCAUA